UACGUAGGGGGCAAGCGUUGUCCGGAUUUAUUGGGCGUAAAGAGCGUGUAGGCGGUUAGGUAGGUCCGUUGUGAAAACUCGAGGCUCAACCUCGAGACGCCGAUGGAAACCAUCUAACUAGAGUCCGGAAGAGGAGAGUGGAAUUCCUGGUGUAGCGGUGAAAUGCGCAGAUAUCAGGAAGAACACCCGUGGCUAAGGCGGCUCUCUAGUACGGUACUGACGCUGAGACGGCGAAAAGCGUGGGGAGCGAACAGG
rnacentral:rRNA from 1 species